GAAGGGUGCAAGCGUUACUCGGAAUUACUGGGCGUAAAGCGUGCGUAGGUGGUUGUUUAAGUCUGUUGUGAAAGCCCUGGGCUCAACCUGGGAACUGCAGUGGAAACUGGACAACUAGAGUGUGGUAGAGGGUAGCGGAAUUCCCGGUGUAGCAGUGAAAUGCGUAGAGAUCGGGAGGAACAUCCAUGGCGAAGGCAGCUACCUGGACCAACACUGACACUGAGGCACGAAAGCGUGGGGAGCAAAACAGGAUUAGAUACCCUGGUAGUCCACGCCCUAAACGAUGCGAACUGGAUGUUGGGUGCAAUUUGGCACGCAGUAUCGAACKAACGCGUUAAGUUCGCCGCC
rnacentral:rRNA from 1 species